rnacentral:rRNA from 1 species
UACAGAGGUCUCAAGCGUUGUUCGGAUUCAUUGGGCGUAAAGGGUGCGUAGGCGGCGCGGUAAGUCGGGUGUGAAAUUUCGAGGCUUAACUUCGAAACUGCAUUCGAUACUGCCGUGCUUUGAGGACUGGAGAGGAGACUGGAAUUUACGGUGUAGCGGUGAAAUGCGUAGAUAUCGUAAGGAAGACCAGUGGCGAAGGCGGGUCUCUGGACAGUUCCUGACGCUGAGGCACGAAGGCCAGGGGAGCAAAACGGG